AGUGAACGCUGGCGGUAGGCCUAACACAUGCAAGUCGAACGGCAGCACAGUAAGAGCUUGCUCUUACGGGUGGCGAGUGGCGGACGGGUGAGGAAUACAUCGGAAUCUACUUUUUCGUGGGGGAUAACGUAGGGAAACUUACGCUAAUACCGCAUACGACCUACGGGUGAAAGCAUGGGAUCUUCGGACCUUGCGCGAUUGAAUGAGCCGAUGUCGGAUUAGCUCGUUGGCGGGGUAAAGGCCCACCAAGGCGACGAUCCGUAGCUGGUCUGAGAGGAUGAUCAGCCACACUGGAACUGAGCCACGGUCCAGACUCCUACGGGAGGCAGCAGUGGGGAAUAUUGGACAAUGGGCGCAAGCCUGAUCCAGCCAUACCGAGUGGGUGAAGAAGGCCUUCGGGUUGUAAAGCCCUUUUGUUGGGAAAGAAAAGCAGCAGGUUAAUACCCCGCUGUUCUGACGGUACCCAAAGAAUAAGCACCGGCUAACUUCAUG
rnacentral:rRNA from 1 species